rnacentral:lncRNA from 1 species
AUCUGUUCUCAUGGCAGGGGGAUUUGCAGAGCUGUUACUGAACAAUAGCUCUGAGGGUAUAAAAGACUUGCUCGGAAGUUACCCCCUUUUAAGCACGUUAAGCAAAGAGACUUGGAUUUUUUUUUACAUUUGCUUCCCUUUUUUUCUGCUUCCAGGAGCUGCUAAAAAAGUCCCUGAUCUUCCUACGCUAUUUGACAGGCUUCUUUUUGACAGCAUCACCUGGGAGAUGUUGGAACAGCUAAGUAACUGAAUGUAUCAGAAAGCAGAAAACACUUAACUUUCCUCUCAAACAUCUAUGUUUGUAAUGGGCUAUCAGCAUCAGUGCAUCCAUGAAGGCUUAAAAAGCCUAAUGCUCAUAUUACAAAUAAAUAAAAAUUAAUGUUUUUGUGUAACA